AGGUCAUGAUGAGGACACCUUCGCAAUAAUUCUUUGUACCUCUCCCAUGCUUCAUAUAAUGAUUCACCCUCAAAUUGGAUGAAUGUGGUGAUAUCAUUCCUUAGCUU